rnacentral:lncRNA from 1 species
GAGCAGCAACGGCGCUGCCCGGGCCCCCCCUGCCUCAUCCCUCCGUCCGGCCCUGGGACGCGGAGGAGCCGGACCUUGGAUUGUGCCGCGGCCCCUUUAAGACGGAAGCCACCGCCGCUGAUUGAACGGGGGAGGGGAGGGGAAAGCGGGAAAGACCGAACCAUGGGGAAGCCUGGGCUCCUAGGCUCCCGUGGCUUUCCACGUGUUCGCGCCAGCUGAGCCCUUUACAUAACCUCUUUACAUAAGCUGCACCUCCCGCCGGCGCCCGGGCCAGCGGAGACUCCUGGUGGCCCAUCCCCCGGGACGCCAG